CCUACGGGGGGCAGCAGUGAGGAAUAUUGGUCAAUGGACGGAAGUCUGAACCAGCCAUGCCGCGUGCAGGAAGACGGCGCUAUGAGUCGUAAACUUCUUUUGUACAAGGGUAAACCUGAAUACGUGUAUUCUGCUGAAAGUACUGUACGAAUAAGCAUCGGCUAACUCCGUGCCAGCAGCCGCGGUAAUACGGAGGAUGCAAGCGUUAUCCGGAUUUAUUGGGUUUAAAGGGUGCGCAGGCGGUUUGAUAAGUUAGCGGUGAAAUGUCCGGGCUUAACUCGGGAACUGCCUUUAAAACUGGUGAUCUAGAGGGUGGAUGAGGUAGGCGGAAUGUGUGGUGUAGCGGUGAAAUGCUUAGAGAUCAUACAGAACACCGAUUGCGAAGGCAGCUUACCAAGCUAUCACUGACGUUGAGGCACGAAAGCGUGGGGAGCAAACAGGAUUAGAUACCCUGGUAGUC
rnacentral:rRNA from 1 species